AAAAAAUUAGUUAAUUUAUAACAUUAAAAUGUCAAUUUAAAAUAAUUAAAUUAUUUAAUAUUUUUUU
rnacentral:tRNA from 1 species